UCACAACAAUGUCAUAUUCGUGUUAAGCAUUAGCAAAUUGUGAAAUUUACGUGCUUAAAAUUGCGAAAAAACCAUGAAUUCUUAUUUGCGGUGUUGAAAGGAACUUGAAAAAUUCGUAGCAAACAGUUUGCAAAGUUAUUUCACAGUCCUUGCAACAUACAAAGACAAAUAUUAAUUGCUUGCAAAAAACAUGGCGCCCACUCCGCUGCCACUGGAGCAAAUGCCCGGUGCCAAUGCGGGCUAUCUGCCCGCUGGGCAGGAGGGAGGACCGCGCAUCAAUACCAUGUCCAUGUCAGUGCUGAUCGAUUUUAUUAUCCAGCGCACCUACCACGAGCUGAUGGUCCUGGCUGAACUAUUGCCACGCAAGACGGAUAUGGAACGCAAGGUGGAAAUUUACGCGUAUGCGGCGCGCACGCGGCAUCUAUUCACACGGCUCAACGCUUUGGUCAAGUGGGGCAACUCGGUUUCCAAGGUGGACAAGAGCUCUCAGAUUAUGAGUUUUCUGGACAAGCAGAACAUGCUGUUUGUAGAAACGGCCGAUAUGCUGGCUCGCAUGUCGCGCGAGACGUUAGUUCGGGCACGUUUGCCCAACUUUCACAUACCCGCUGCCGUCGAGGUGCUGACCACGGGCACCUACAACCGGCUUCCCACUUGCAUUCGGGAGCGUAUUGUGCCGCCGGAUGCCAUUACACCGGCGGAGAAAAAGCAAACACUUUUGCGCCUGAAUCAGGUCAUACAGCAUCGCCUUGUUACUGGGAAAUUGCUGCCGCAAAUGCGAGAAUUUCGCAUACGCAACGGACGUGUCACGUUCGAGGUGAAGCACGAGUUCAGUGUGGCCCUCACCGUCAUGGGCGACAGUCCGAAUGUGCCCUGGCGCCUGCUGGACAUCGAUGUGCUGGUUGAGGACAAGGAGACGGGCGACGGAAAGUCGUUGGUGCAUCCGCUGCAGGUCAACUACAUACACCAACUGAUACAGGCACGUCUCGUGGAGAAUCCCAACGCCUUGAGUGAGGUGUACAAUUGCCUUCAUUAUUUCUGCCAGUCGCUGCAGCUAGAGGUGCUCUAUACGCAGACGCUCCGCCUGAAUUACGAGCGCCUCGACGACAACAAUAUCACUGUGGAGGAGUAUGUGCCUGGCGUUAAGCUCACGGUGUCCUAUUGGCGCGAUCUCAAGUCGGAGCUGGGCUACCGCCUUACGGUUCAAUCGGAUCCCAGCGAAAUCGGUCGGCCGCUGGUCGUUGUUCAUGUACCCUCACUGGGCGCCAAGGAGUCCGCCGAGGUGGCUGAUCGUGCCGUGCGCUCCGAGCAUCUGUCCAUGGAGCGCUUGAUUGUGCACACCGUUUACAUACGUUCCGUGGCUCGUUUGAGUGAUCUUAAGCUCGAGUUUCAGGCCUUCCUCAAGGACGUUGACUUUAAUCUGCAAGGGACGCCGGCUAUUCUGACGGUGCCCGUGCUGUCACCCUGCUUGCGCGCGGAACAAAUUCACAUAACCAUAGACACGCACACCGGCAUGUUCCGUUGCCAUGUGCCCAAGCACUUAGAUUGUCCCAUUACGGAAGAGAUGCAGGACUGUUUAAAUACGGAUCGGAGCAAGCUGCCAGCAUUGCUAUCGGAGCUGCGCUAUUGGAUCACUCAUCGGCGCUGCGAAAAAACGCUACAACAUCUGCCCGCUACGGCCACAGAAACGUUGCCCUUUCUCACGCUGCCCGAGCAGGAGCUGCUGCAGCCGGGCCGUCACAAGAUCUAUGUAAAGCUGCAUCGCCACCCUAACAUUAUUCUGGUGGUUCAAUUGAAGGAGAAGCCUGCUAUGCCCAACGAGAUGGAGUAUACGUUUCAUUUGGGCUUUGUCGUCUUUCAAAAGGACGAAAACGAUAUUGUGGAUGACUCUGCUAAGCAACUGGUCUCCAUUGUGGCUCAACCGCCAUCAGAGAUUCCCAAAUUGUACACAAAACUGAUGCGUCUCAUCGAGUUUGACACAUUUGUGGCCACCCAUGGACCCGGCACAGAGGUCGAUGCUGAGGUAUCACCGCAUAAGCGUAAAUCAAAUGGCGACAUUCUGGCACCGCCCGCCAAGCAGCAGAAGACCAUUUUUCCGGCAUAUUUCAUACCGGAGCUGGCGCAUGUCGUAGCCAUGUGUGAUGAGAAGAUACCGUUCCUCAAUCUGGCACAGACGCUCUCCAAGCACCGCAUACCGCAUAGCGGCCUGCAAGUGGAGGCGAAUGCCACCUCGCUGGUGUUAAAGAUUCUGGCGCUGCCCCAGCCAGGCAUCAACAACCAGGGAACGACAACAACUGGCGAGCAGAAGCCAACGCCAGCGCCAAGCACAUCGUCUGCGUUUCCCAAGAUCGAGCCGCAUGUCUGGGACGAUCUAAUGCGACGCGUUCUGUCCAUUUCGGUGCGCUCUCAGACCAAUAAGAAUAGUCAGGUGCGCAUCUGGGUGGUAGAAUUUGUAUUCUAUAGCACACCGCUGCAGAGUACCCAUCAGAAGGAACUGGGCAGUCGUCGCACCAUCAACCUAACCUACGAGCAGGCCAAUCAUGAUUUUUCCAAAACGGUCGACGAUUUGCUUAACGACUGGUCCAAGAUAGUGUACCUAUAUACGCUGGUUUAUGAUUUUGCCGAGCAGCUGCGCAACAAGCGACUCAGCCUGGGAGAUAUGCUGGUGGUCAAAUCCUAUACGUAUGCCAACUUGCUGCUGGGCUAUGGACCCAAGAAGGAAGUCACCUGCAAUAUCUACUGGUCCGUGCAGUCGCACGGCUUUCGCCUGACCUUUGUGGGCGGCAUCUCAGCGGUCAACGCGCACUCCAUGAUGCGUGAUCAGCUGGCGCAGCAUCUGAAUCAACAACACAGUCUCACGACCAUCGCUCACAUACUGCAUGAGACCUAUAAUCCCAUGAGCUCCAUAGCCAAGCUGCCUGUUUUGCCACUGCUGGGCAUACCGCGGCCGCAGGUGCCCGUGCUGUCGUUCUGCAUGCUGCCACAGUCGCCCUGCCUGAUGCGUCUGACCUACCAGGCGGUGUAUUGCUUGGAGUUGCGUUUCCGCGCCAACCGGCUUGUCUCCAUACGCGAUGGCGCCAGCAGCCGUUUUGAGCGCAACGUCAUCGAGGAGUUUACGCCCAUUCAGGGCCUCAAGGCAUUCUUGUCCAAAUAUGUGGAUGAGUCUGCCGUUUACAGAGGUCGUGCGCCGCACGACGAUGACAAUCCGCUGUCGCCGAUGGGCCUGGAGGAUAACUUUGGCGGUCCGAGCAGUGUGACUGGUGUGAGCGCGGGUGGUUCUUCGCCAUUUUUGAGCGCCGGCAUGCGUGGUCCGCAGUCCCCACGGGAUAGUGGUCUUCGCUUUCCCGCACCCCAUACGCCGCCCUCCAGCUCAAAUCCGCACACACCGGCCAGUCCGCAUCCCAGCGCUGGCGGAGGCGGCGGCGGUGGGGCUCAGAGUCAUGCCAAUUUUAAUUUGACAUCGCCACCAGCACCGCAUAUGCCGCAUCCGUCACCUGGCGGACUGAUGCCCUCAUCGCCGCUGAAUCCUCAGCCCAGUCCACACAUGGUGCACAGUCCGGGACCCAAUACGCUGUACAUGCAAAGCCACCAGGAUUCGCCUUUUACAGCCAUGUCGCCGGCAAACAACAAUUGGCCAGGAUCGCCCAGCAUGCCGCGCCCUUCACCCCGGCCCGGACAGAGUCCAGAGCACAAGAGCACAGGUGGCGGCGGCCCAGGUGUCGGCGCUGCCGAUCGAAACGUCACUCGUGGCACACUCAACCGGCCCUGGGCUGGCGCUGUGCCCACGCUGCUAACGCAUGAGGCACUCGAGACGCUGUGCCGUCCCAGUCCGCACCCCAACAAAGACAUCAAUGUGGCCGACAUGAGUCCACUCGAACGCUUUUUGGGCUGUGUUUAUAUGCGCCGUCAGCUGCAUCGCAACAUCCAGAGCGAGGAGACAUUAACGGCGCUCAACUCCACGGAACCGGGCGUGGUGCUCUUCAAGGUGGAUGGUCUGCAGUGCCAGGUGAUGCUCAACCAGCUGCACAUGCAGUCGCUGCAUCUGAAGGUUACCCAGUUGCCGCCCAUGCCCGACAAGCCCACUUUCCAGCUGAGUCCCGAUGAUCUGCUCGUAAUCGAGCAAUACUUCGACACCCGGGUCGCUGCCCCGCCCUAUCGUCCGAAUGCGCUGCACAGCAUUUGCCGAUUGUUGAACCUGCCCGGUCAUGUGCUCAAGGAUUUCGUGCAGAUCAUGCGAUUGGAGAUGAAGCCCGAGCUCGGCGGCGAUCAGCUCAAGUGGACAGUGCAGAUGUGCAUGCGCAUGUCGCCCUCGGCGAUGCCCAUUGUGCCCAUUGGCAGUGCCUGUGUGGUGCUGGGCCGCAUGAAGAUUCUGUUCUUCUUGCACAUCACACGCAUACCGUACAACGGCAAGGACUGGAAGGACAGUCCGUCCCUGGUGCUGCCCAUUGUCCACGACAUUGCCACAAAUCUCACCCAGGUGGCCGAGCGGCGGGAGCAGGUGCAAUCGCCCACAAUGUCUGCUGCCAGCGCGCUGCUGCGUCGCUUUGCGGACUUCGGGGUGCAGCAGAAUCAGUGCUCGCUCUUUCCGGCCGUCACAGAGCUGCUGACCAAUCUGCAGAUCACCACGGAUCUGCCGCCGCCGCCGCCAAAUCAGCCCAUCGGGCCGCCUGUAGGUGUUGGUGUUGGAGUGGGCGUGGGUGUGGGCGUUGGUGUUGUGGGCUCUAGCCCGAAUACGAUGAUGCCCAUGCAGCAGCUGCAGCCGCAGGUCGGACAUGGGCCGCAGCUUGGCCCGAAUCCUGGCGGUCCUCAGUGAUGAAGGCGCAAGCGCCGCGCCUCCUCGCAGCAGCCAUGAGGCGGCAUCCUGGCGCAAUUGCGACCAACCCACUGAGCACACACAGACAUACACAAAUUCCCAAUUAUCAUCCAAUUAUUUAUUGAUUAAUACGAGACAAAUUUCAACAUUCACUUGCGAUAACAUGCGACGAGAGUCAAAAUCAAGAUCAAGCUACAUCGUUUAUCACAUGUGCCAGCUGUCUGGAGCUGUCGAGCGUUUCUGUGACUCUGCUUGCUCCGAGGAAUCUCAGGAAAUUUUGUGUGGAAAUGUUCUAUAUGGAAUAUAUAUUUGGAAGUCCCUGACACAAUUAGUCUUGCUUAAAUAUAUAAGGAAAAUCGCUCUAAAAAUUGGCCAAGACUGACAAAUUAAGGACUUCAAUGACCUCUAAGGACCUCCACGACUGAUAAAGCAAAUUUUUCCAGGAUCGGACUUUAAUUAUGGCAGAUAUAGCUAUUUUAAGUUCAAAUAGGCAACAAUUAUAAUUUAUUCUCGUUUUGUAUAAUUUUAAGAGAAAUAAUUAAGAAAAUUAGCAUUAAAAUUCAACAAUUUUGUAAAUUUAAACAUAAAUAAAUCAAAUAUUUAUAAUAAAACAAAAAAA